rnacentral:rRNA from 1 species
AUACGGAGGAUGCGAGCGUUAUCCGGAUUUAUUGGGUUUAAAGGGUGCGUAGGCUGUGCGUUAAGUCAGGGGUGAAAUGCCGUCGCUCAACGACGGAGCUGCCCUUGAUACUGGCGUGCUGGAGUACGGAUGCCGUUGGAGGAAUGAGUGGUGUAGCGGUGAAAUGCUUAGAUAUCACUCAGAACACCGAUUGCGAAGGCAUCUGACGAAUCCGUCACUGACGCUGAGGCACGAAGGCGUGGGGAUAGAACAGGAUUAGAUACCCUGGUAUUCCACGCCGUAAACGAUGAUGACUAACCGUCGGCGAUAGACAGCCGGUGGCCAAGCGAAAGCGAUAAGUCAUCCACCUGGGGAGUACGUCGGCAACGAUGAAACUCAAAUGAAUUGGCGGG